GGGCCGCCGGGUGUCGUCCGGCGCCGCCAGGCCCUGCUGACGGGCCCGGUUCACGGAGAUCAGCCGCCGUUCCGUCUCGGCGGCGGCCCAC
rnacentral:tRNA from 1 species